UUUUUUUUCUUUUUUUAAUCUUUUUUUUUUUUUCUUUUUAUGGCUGCACCUGUGGCAUAUGGAAGUUCCCAGGCUAGGAGUCUGCUGAAUGCGAGCUGCAGCUGCUGGUCCAUGCCACAGCCGCAGCAAUGCUGUAUCCCAGCUGCAUCUGUGAUCACAGCUCACGGCUAUGCCUGAUCUUUAACCCACGGGGUGAGGCCAGGGAUCGAACCCACAUCCUCACAGAGACUAUGUUGGGUUCUUAAUCCACUGAGCCACAACUGGAAACUUCAACAGCCCUAUUUAAUAAGCAAAACUGUUAGGUAUUUCUUUUGCCCUAAAGAUGCUGUAAAAUUAAGGAGACAUCAAGGAUGCCAUGAUCUGAGUAAGUUUGGGAACCUCUGCCCAGGUAGAUCCUGAGGAAUGUUCUAGUUUCUUCUAAUAAUAACCAACUCCAUGUCCUCAGUGCUUCAGGACACCUGUUCAGUUUUACUGAGAUUUAGGUACCAGACCCACCAUGAUGCAACCCCAAGACCAAGCGCCAUGCUCUCCCACCACAGGGUCCUGGAAGGGUGAGUUGCCGGGUCCUGGGGACCAGGCACUCCGUGGCGGGGGCAGAGAGUGGGCUGCCACCAAGAAGCCCUUUCUCCCCGACCUCUGACCUUGGAGAACUGUGCGGCCCAACCCUCCCAGGGCACCCACACCCUGUCCAACCUUGCCAACAGCAGGCAGGGCCACACAGCAGACGCAUUCUGUGAUGUGUGAAGUCAGCCGUGGCAGAGGCUCCAGGAGAGGCUGCUGUGCUGUGGAGGAUGGUGCAUCUAAGCGUGACCAUCCCAAAGCAUCCUCAGACACAGCCCUUAUACCCCAAGACCACACAGGUGGGCAAGGAGACAGGAAGUGCCUUGAACCCCACUUGAUCCACACAUCUUCUGAUGCCCCUCCUGGAUGAACGAUGCCCUCUUGGCAGAGCACACUGGACAUGGGCUCAGGCAACCUCGAGGCCAGCUGGGCACACACAGGCCUGCAUCCUAUGCAGUAACAGGGGUGUGUUCUUCUGGGAGGUUGGCCAAAGGAGAUGGGAAGAGUGCUUUGCCAUUGCCAACUGCUUCCUUUUUCUACAUAAACAUAUCUGGGAGAUGAACAUUUCCCUUAGGCCCAUUUCACAGACUGGAAGGAGGGAGACUGAGGCUCAAAGAGGCAUGGGGUGCCAGAGUCAGCAAGAAGACAUGUCAUGUCCUGCCUCUGCCUCUGGACCCCUUGUCCUCUCUGUCCCGAGGGGCCAUGUCCCUGGCUCCUACCUGCCCUCACCCAUCACCGCCAGAGCUCUCGACCUGCCCCUCAUCCAGGUCCCUCACUGCUUCCCUUUCACUUGCCUUGGGGUCCAGGCUCUGUGAACACUGGUCAUUCCCAGCCCACUCUCUCCGCCCUUGCUCUGGUCCGCAGGGGCACUGAGCUGUGGAGGGGAACUCAGGAGAAACCGGGGGUCCAGCAUGUACCUAAUGUGUGGGCAUUAUUACCUUGUGCCUGGAACUGCUGGUGACUCUGGGGGACAAACUGGCCUCUGCACUGAGCUGGCCACCCCCUACGUCUGGGUAGGGGGAGAGCCCACAAGUCCCAGCACAGGGCCAAUGUGGAAGGUCACAGAAGGCCAGCUGGCCAGGGACCAAGCCCACAGCUUCUACUUCAAGCAGCUUCCUUGAGAACUGAAAUGUACAAGAAGGUUGGCAGAAAGAGAGCCACAUGGCAAAGCCAGAGAAGCCAGCACAGGACACUCAAAUCUCCCCAUCACCACACAGGGAGGCCCCCUGACAUGUCCAACAGAUCCACCAUGACUACUGGAAACACCAUGAUUACUGCAAGACCAAAUUAUCUCUUUUCAACUAGACUGAAAUAGCUCUCAGGAGAAAAACAUUUCCCCUGGGCCAAAAGUCUUCAUUUCUCUACAAGCAAUCAAAUAAACAGACAAAAGAACAAUACCAACACCUUCCAAAUGACCUGAAUGCAUGUGGACAGCUCACAUUCUGGUCUGGGAUCCAGGGUUUCUGCCUGGUCACCUGGGGGUUAAUAGAGCCAUGCUCAAUGUGAAUUAAUGGCGCUUAAGAGCACGAUCUAACCCACGAUCAAACUCAACUAAACAGAAAUGACCCACUCCUUCUCUUGGAUAAGAAGGAGACCUUAAUUAGGAAUAGGCUUGUUGGCUCCUGCCCCGACUCCCUCCUUGUAACCUCAGCUGAGACCAGCAGAGUCUCCCAUGCAAGACUGGACUGUCCACACCCUGCACCUACCCUUCCAUCCUGAGCCGGAUAGAGGCUGAGGUGAGCCCUGCUGGCCACCCUCCUCCCACAACUCCACCCCAGCUCCGCCCUCUAGAACCUGCAUGGCAACCUUGGCCUUCAUCCUCCUCUGGCCUCCACCCCCACUGCGGACCCUCUGGCACUAAGCCCCAGAACAGCCUCUGCCUGUGCCCACAGGGGGUCCCUCAGUGGCCCUCAGCUUUGCUGGCCCUAGAAACCCACAGGGAUGAUUUCAAAGCCACUUGCCUGGAACCCAAGCUGCAGGUUCCCACCUCAACUGCACAGGUAAGACAGCCCACGGCAGACAGAGCUGGGUGCCGUUCAUACCGCACCUGCCAGAGCACACAGGGAAAGAAAGGUGGGGCUGGGAGGGAGAGCAGGGCAGCAGGGCCACGGGUCAUGUCAGAUAGCAGAGGCCCCAAGGGUAUGGGCUGCCAUACAGGGCUCUGGUUCCCCUUAAGGAGACCUGGAUCUAGGGAAAUAUCAACCAACAUACAAGUUCAAGAAACACGGGGUUGGAGAACUGAGUCCCUCUUCAUUUCAAUACAGCCUUUUGGGGGGAAGAUGGGGCAUAGACCCCAAGUGUCCAUUCAAUGCCCAUCACGGCCUGUGAAGACCUCACUUUGUGAGCAGCUGGUCAUUGCGACAAGCAGGUCACACCCCUGUCUUCAGCCUCCACUGCUGUUCAGAGGCCUGCCUCCUGUCACCUGCUCUCAUGUCAGGGAUGCCCGCAGACCAACAAGGGCAGUGUCCAGGCAGCAGGUUGGCGUGGGUCAAGCCCAUGAGGUCAGUGAUUCCCCUUUGUUACAUUCAUCUGGGACCACCGCUGCCUAGGACAUGCCUAGGAAAGAGGAGGGGAAGAAAGGAUACCAAGCAAACAGGCCGACUUACCCCAGGGCUGAGCAGGGCAGCAGGGCAGGCAUUCCUGGGAGGGCUGCCCUGGUAGGGACUUGCCUGCUUGCACCCAUCUCCACUUCUUAGGAACAGAACUUGGAUUUUUAAGGUGAAUGACACUUCAUUCUGUUCAGGUAGUUGGGGCGAUAUAACUAGCCCCAUUUGCUCACCCUUCCUUCUGUUGCCUGGAACACAAGCCUGAUGGCUGCAGCCCCAGUAGCCCUCUUGGACCAUAAGAUGCUUUGCAAUGAAAGCCAUCUGGUAAGAAAAAGGAGUAAAAAGAUACCAGAGGUCACUGUCUUCAGCGAUCCUACAAAACUGCCCACUGCUGGGCUUCUUGUAAGUGACAUUCACACUUCUUUCUUGUUAAAGAUACUGUUACUUUGGAGCCAGAUUUAAAAUCCUAAAUGAUAUUAACAUGGCAAGAUUCUAUUUCAUAGAGCAUAGACCACAGGUCAGUGCACUCUGCUUAACAUUUUUAUUUUUCUUGUUCUGGCCUCACUCUCUGAUCAGAAAGCUAUGACUGGACAGCUCUCAGCAGCCCAGCUACCAGGUGCAGUCUGGGGCAGUCAAGCAGCUGUGACCAUCUUCUGUGGCUCAGGGGAUGCCUCUGGGGAUAAAGCAUUGAGACUGACAAGUCACAGCUCAGAACUACCACGAGCCCCAACAACAAAAAGACCCACAGUCAAGGCUGGGCCCACAUAAGCACAUGAGAGACCAUCGGCCUUCAACCGGGUCUACAGAGCAGACAAAGCUGGAUGGACCCCAAGCUGGUGGGCACCUGCUUUGCACAAUCACAGAUCCCUGGUCCCCCCUUGUGGAAAGAUGUGCAUGGCCUCCAACCCCUUGUACAUUCCUCAUGUUAGAAUCACAAACUGCAAGGAUUUCCCAUUGUGGCGCAGUGGAAAUGAAUCCAACUAGUAACCAUGAGGUUACGGGUUCAAUCUCUGGCCUUGCUCAGUGGGCCAGGGAUCGAACCCUAGUCCUCGUGGAUACUAGUCAUGUUCAUUAACUGCUGAGCCACAACGGGAACUCCCACUCCGGUCUCUUUCAAUGGGCAAGACAUUUGUUUGAAGGGGCUUCAUUUUCAUUCCCAAUGCAGGCAGGGGAAACCUGACUUUUCUCUGUCCAGGACCAAAAUUCAAAGCACUGGUCAUCAAGGCUGCGGGUCACUUCUGCUGAUGAGACAGGACAACCUCUUUUGGGAUGUCUACCAUCCUACCACCAGGGAACCCUGUUCUUCCUGCCACAGGCCCCUGUGAGAAGCCAAAGCACAUCUCUUACUGCCCUGAGGGAUGGAGAGUGUCAUAAAGCCCGGGUGCAGCUCAUGCUAAGCUCAGAGGGCCCCUGCCGGCACCGUGCCCAGAGCCAGGCGGGGAGGGGGGCGUAGACCUACUGCCCUGGACACCCUCUCCACCAGGGCCCAGGCAACAUCUGUUCUUUUCAGUAUAACUUCCUAAAAUAUUACCCUGCAAUUAUUUCCAGAGACUUAAAUGGGAUCCCCAAAUACAUACAAUUAAGACUAAAAUUGUAAUUUUAUAUUACUGCUAAUUUGAAUAAACACGAAGCCUUCCCAUCUCCAAACCCAACAUAGACAACGACAUUCCAAUUAACCCUUAGAUAUCACUGAACUCAGGAAAAUGACCACUCUGGACCCUCACAGAACAACUCCUGAAAGGCGUGAUGCUCCCUCAACAAACUCUAGGAACGGUCAUUAUUUGCCCAGCUCUGCAAGGCGGGAGUGUCUCUCCGGCCACCUCCUGAAGCAGCAACACUGCUGUGCUGACAGUGUGGGGACAAUGUGGACCCUUGGACAAGAACGCAAGGAGGUCAAGGACCAGGGGGUCAGCCCCACUUCUCAGGACAGAGGCGCAAGGCACCCUCUGACUCCCCAGCUGGCUCCCCAGCCCCUGUGCCCCCCCAUUCCUGGGCCGCCUCCAAAGUCCAGAAGCUCCAUAAAGACCCACCAGGAGCCAGGGAACAGGAUGUUCAGGGUGCCCCAUCCUGCCACCUGGGGCCAGCAUCAGUGGCCAGCAGGCCCAGGUCCAACACUGCAGAGGCUCCCCACCCAGGCCUGCCUUCCCACAGAAGACCAGAAGAAAGGCCUGGGGGCUUCCUGUGCUCCACCAGGAGGGGCAGGUGACUCCUGUCCUGCCUGCAGGGCACAGUUUCUAGCCCCUUGGACAGCACAGCUGGGGACUGGGGACUAGGGACUGGCACCUGAUCUCAUAAGAAUCUAUGGCUGGAAGCAAGGCCAGAGUCACCCC
rnacentral:lncRNA from 1 species